rnacentral:rRNA from 1 species
GACGAACGCUGGCGGCGUGCUUAACACAUGCAAGUCGAACGGAAAGGCCCUGCUUUUGUGGGGUGCUCGAGUGGCGAACGGGUGAGUAACACGUGAGUAACCUGCCCUUGACUUUGGGAUAACUUCAGGAAACUGGGGCUAAUACCGGAUAGGAGCUCCUGCUGCAUGGUGGGGGUUGGAAAGUUUCGGCGGUUGGGGAUGGACUCGCGGCUUAUCAGCUUGUUGGUGGGGUAGUGGCUUACCAAGGCUUUGACGGGUAGCCGGCCUGAGAGGGUGACCGGCCACAUUGGGACUGAGAUACGGCGCAGACUCCUACGGGAGGCAGCGGUGGGGAAUAUUACACAAUGGGCGGAAGCCUGAUGCAACAACGCCGCGUGCGGGAUGACGGCCUUCGGGUUGUAAACCGCUUUCACCUGUGACGAAGCGUGAGUGACGGUAAUGGGUAAAGAAGCACCGGCUAACUACGUG